rnacentral:lncRNA from 1 species
UCUUCCAUAGAUAUCUGUCUGUCUCCCCACAUUUCACUACUCGAACUUCAAUGAUCUAGCUUCUACAUCAAAAUCGUCAGUUAAGAAUCUGCCACAGAUCGAGAAAAUGGUGAUGGCUAUCGAGCAAGAACACCCCAAGAAGGCAUCUGGAUGGGCUGCAAGAGAUUCAUCUGGUGUUCUCUCUCCCUUCAAUUUCUACAGAAGGUACAUUGGCAACUAGUAUAACAUGUUCUUCCUCUUCGCAUUCGCAAUAAUACAUUUGUUCCGUGUUUCUAAAGUUGAUACAAUUGAUUUGAUUACAGGGAAACCGGAGAGAAAGACGUGACGUUCAAAGUGUUGUACUGUGGGAUUUGCCAUUCGGACCUUCACAUGGUCAAGAAUGAAUGGGGCUUCUCUACCUAUCCUCUGGUUCCAGGGUACGAUAGCUUUUUCUUUACUACCAGGACAUGCACUCUUUACUAGUGUAAUCAGUAAUCUAAUCUGAGCACAAUUUGGCAAUGCAGGCAUGAGAUUGUUGGUGAAGUUACGGAAGUAGGGAGCAAAGUACAAAAAUUUAAAGUUGGAGACAGAGUCGGUGUUGGAUGCAUUGUGGGAUCUUGCCGAUCUUGUGAAAAUUGUACCGACCACCUUGAGAACUACUGCCCCAAACAGAUACUCACUUACGGUGCCAAGUACUACGACGGAAGCACCACCUAUGGCGGUUACUCUGACAUUAUGGUGGCCGAUGAACACUUCAUAGUACGCAUCCCAGACAACUUGCCUCUUGAUGGUGCUGCGCCGCUCCUAUGUGCCGGGAUUACAACCUACAGCCCCCUGAGAUAUUUCGGACUUGACAAGCCCGGCAUGCAUGUAGGUGUGGUCGGCCUAGGCGGUUUAGGCCACGUCGCCGUGAAGUUUGCCAAGGCUAUGGGAGUGAAGGUUACAGUGAUCAGUACGUCCCCUAAGAAAGAGGAGGAAGCUCUUAAACACCUAGGAGCUGACUCGUUUUUGGUUAGCCGUGACCAAGAUCAAAUGCAGGUAGUUUUUCGAACAAGUUACACCUUUUACAACGUUUAAAUGGACAAAAAAAUGAACAAGUUACUUAAUUUUUGUGUCAUUGAUUAAUUUGUAGGCUGCCAUUGGUACCAUGGAUGGGAUCAUUGACACAGUUUCUGCACAACAUCCUCUCCUGCCUUUGAUUGGUUUGUUGAACUCUCAUGGAAAGCUUGUUAUGGUUGGUGCACCAGAGAAGCCUCUUGAACUUCCAGUUUUUCCUUUACUCAUGGGUAAGCAUUAUAGCAUGUAACUAGAGGUCUAGAGUAGUGAUCUUUACCUGUUAUCUUCUGUGCGCAUUGUUGGGUUAUUAACAGAGUUUAAUGUUCGUCUUAACAGGAAGAAAGAUGGUAGCUGGUAGCGGCAUUGGGGGUAUGAAGGAGACACAAGAGAUGAUAGAUUUUGCAGCCAGGCACAACAUAACAGCAGACAUCGAAGUCAUACCAAUCGACUACUUGAACACUGCUAUGGAGCGUCUAGUCAAAGCAGAUGUCAGAUACCGUUUUGUCAUCGACAUUGGAAACACACUGAAGGCUAGCUCUUAAAUUCUGCAAUCCAGACUGGAUCAAUGAAGAAACAAGAACAGAAACUGAGACUGAUU